AUACUUACCUGGCAUGGGAGAUACUAUGAUCAUAAAGGUGGUUUUCGCAGGGUGAAGCUUAUCCAUUGCACUCCGGUAAUGUUGAUGUAAUUUCCCCUGUAAUUUCCCCAUAUGUGGGAAAUUUGACUGCAUAAUCUGCAGUAGCGGAGGCCUGUGUUAGUGCUUUCCCCUG